rnacentral:lncRNA from 1 species
CAGCAGGAAAAGAAAAAAGAAAUAAAAAGAAAGCAGAACACCCUUUGCUAGGGUUUCAUCAUUCGCCCUAAAUCGCCGCUUGCCUGCCGUUCAAAGGCGCUUCGGGUCUCAGCCCUUCGCCAGGCUCCCGAUUUGAGCGAAGCGAGUGUGGGCUUCAACGGCGAAGCUUCAAAGGUAAAACCCCUCCCUCCUUUUCUAAUUUUAUUUGUAAAACACAAUCAAAAGUAAAGAAACAGAGAAUAGAUCAAAAAAAUGACGCGAUUCACC